rnacentral:tRNA from 1 species
ACUAUUUUGGCAGAUUAUUGCAGUAAAUUUAGAAUUUAUUUAUAUAGUAAAUACUAUAAAUAGUA